rnacentral:pre_miRNA from 1 species
AAAGUACUCCCUCCGUUCGGAAUUACUUGUCUCGGAAAUGGAUGUAUCUAGAACUAAAAUACAUCUAGAUACAUCCAUUUUUAUGACAAGUAAUUCCGAACGGAGGGAGUAAGAG